UAGGCACAUGUGCCCAUGACGAUUACACAAGAACACACUUCAAUUAAUAAAAAAAUAUUGCUUACAGAGUUAGGGUAGGAGAUUUGCCAGCAACAAGAAGACUGUGUACUGGUAAAACCGGUUUUCCCUGUUGCAGAGCCUCAGUGUGAAGGAAGGACAACUGUGUUCCACAAUCAAAACGCUCCAGGGUGGGGUGAUUUGCCAAAAAAACCUGGAUGUCUGUACACACCCCUUUAACAAGAGGACCAACGAUGGACAAAAGGCUACUCUUUGAGAAACAUUAUGUACAUCAGCCAGGAAGAAGCUUAACCAUGGGACCAUGUGGGGAGAGAGGGUCACAGGAACCUCUGCUCCAGAAACAGAAGCACAAUAUUUGGUUGCAUGGAAUUUGUCAUCCUGAAGACAUGAAUGGCUGCUUUUGGCUUUUGUUGAGGAAGAGAAAUGCAUCCCAUG